UGCUCAUACAAAAACUUUCAUAAAAGUGUGAAUUAUAAUUCAUAAUAUGUCGUUGCUUAAACUUUGUUCUAUUAUCACCAUUCUUCUCAUGGCAACCACUAUUAAUAUAUCGUGGUUCUCAAAGACACAAGCUAUAGCUGCACUGGAUAUUGAUCAUGAUCUGUCAGGACUCAAGAGCAGAUUACUUCCACAACUUGCGACUUGUUGGAGAAGUUGUACUACCAACAAUGACUGCAGUGAUUGUUGGGUUUGUUGUACUUGUCAUUUGACCAUUGCAGAUGGUACAUAUAUGUGCAUGAAUGUCUAGAUUAAUUAUCACUAGAUAAGUAAUUCCCUGUGAUUUUAGUGCUUCUGUCGUAUUAUCUACUUUCCAUGUCUUUCAUAAUUUGUACGAAUAAUGAAAAAAUUUGCUUGCAAAUGAUUUUCCAUUCAGAAAUAAUAAUGGAUUCUUGUGUGACUAA